AGCAGCCGCGGUAAUUCCAGCUCCAAUAGCGUAUAUUAAAGUUGUUGCAGUUAAAAAGCUCGUAGUUGAAUUUUAGGCCUGGCCGGGCGGUCCGUCUUUGGCGAGUACUGUUCUGUGUCGGGUCUUACCUUCUGGUGAACCGGCAUGUUCUUUAUUGAGUGUACCGGGGAGCCAGGACCAUUACCUUGAAAAAUUAGAGUGUUUAAAGUAGGCAUUUGCUUGAAUAGAUUAGCAUGGAAUAAUAGAAUAGGACGUUGGUUCUAUUUUGUUGGUCUAGGACCACCGUAAUGAUUAAUAGGGAUAGUUGGGGGCAUUAGUAUUCAAUUGUCAGAGGUGAAAUUCUUGGAUUUAUUGAAGACUAACUAUUGCGAAAGCAUUUGCCAAGGAUGUUUUCAUUAAUCAAGAACGAAAGUUAGGGGAUCGAAGACGAUCAGAUACCGUCGUAGUCUUAACCAUAAACUAUGCCGACUAGGAAUCGGGCGACGUUAUUUCAUGACUCGCUCGGCGCCUUAUGGGAAAC
rnacentral:rRNA from 1 species